GCCCAGGGUUAGAGGUCAGGGGUCAGGGAGAGGUCAGUACACCUCAUAAAGGUCUCCCAGUAGACGAGGCCCAGGGUUAGAGGUCAGGGGUCAGGGAGAGGUCAGUACACCUCAUAAAGGUCUCCCAGUAGAUGAGGCCCAGGGUUAGAGGUCAGGGAGGGGUUAUUACCUGGGAAGAGGUCAGUACACCUCAUAAAGGUCUCCCAGUAGACGAGGCCCAGGGUUAGAGGUCAGGGGUCAGGGAGAGGUUAUUACCUGGGAAGAGGUCAGUACACCUCAUAAAGGUCUCCCAGUAGACGAGGCCCAGGGUUAGAGGUCAGGGGUCAGGGAGAGGUUAUUACCUGGGAAGAGGUCAGUACACCUCAUAAAGGUCUCCCAGUAGACGAGGCCCAGGGUUAGAGGUCAGGGGUCAGGGAGAGGUCAGUACACCUCAUAAAGGUCUCCCAGUAGAUGAGGCCCAGGGUUAGAGGUCAGGGGUCAGGGAGAGGUCAGUACACCUCAUAAAGGUCUCCCAGUAGAUGAGGCCCAGGGUUAGAGGUCAGGGGUCAGGGAGAGGUCAGUACACCUCAUAAAGGUCUCCCAGUAGACGAGGCCCAGGGUUAGGGGUCAGGGAGGGGUUAUUACCUGGGAAGAGGUCAGUACACCUCAUAAAGGUCUCCCAGUAGACGAGGCCCAGGGUUAGAGGUCAGGGGUCAGGGAGAGGUCAGUACACC